rnacentral:rRNA from 1 species
UACAGAGGUCUCAAGCGUUGUUCGGAUUCAUUGGGCGUAAAGGGUGCGUAGGCGGCGCGGUAAGUCGGGUGUGAAAUCUCGGAGCUUAACUCCGAAACUGCAUUCGAUACUGCCGUGCUUGAGGACUGGAGAGGAGACUGGAAUUUACGGUGUAGCGGUGAAAUGCGUAGAUAUCGUAAGGAAGACCAGUGGCGAAGGCGGCUCACUGGACCGGAACUGACGCUGAGGCGCGAAAGCGUGGGGAGCAAACGGG